rnacentral:tRNA from 1 species
GCACCUGUAGCUCAGUGGCUAGGGUGCCAGCUUCAUACACUGGAGUGGCAGGUUUGAAUCCAGCCCGGGGCC